rnacentral:lncRNA from 1 species
GGGGGCGGCUCCAGGCUCCCUUCUCUGCCCUCCGAGGCAGCGAGCCGGGGGCUUCUGGGUCCCUGUGGAAGGGGCCGUGCCUCUAGCGGCGGCUAGGGGGCGCAGGAGGACCCGAGCGCAAAUCCGACCUCAGACACUUCCCGGCUGUGUGACCCUGGGCAAGUCACUUACCCCAACUGCCUCGGGGGAAAAGUGACGUCCCGGAAGUGCGAGACGCGGUGAGUGCCUGAGGUGUUUCCUGGGUGUCCCGCGCCGAACAGGCUCGCGCGGGCGGGGCCCUUAGCGCUGCCUCUGAAGCCGCGCCAGGAGCUGCGCCCAGCGGGCGGUGGCUGGGGGGGAGGGGGUCUGGAGAGCCGGGACCAGGGCGAAGCAGCUUUCCGGGCCACACAGACGCGUGAGCCUUUCGAAGGAAACGCGGAUCAAUUAUCAGAAGAAAGACCAACCAACCGAGAGCCCCCGCAAGCGACGCCCGCAGAUCUGGCGGAGGACCUCCCCCUUCCCCGCUCUUGCUGAAUUCUGGAGAAAGUCAAGCCCACGGGACCCUUCCGGCCGCACUAGGCGCCGGGUUCAGCACAACGUCACGACAAGCGAAGACUCACAACAGCGACAGACGGAGCGGCGACAAGAUGUCCAAAUGGCCGCUGACACAAGGCAGACCCAUCAGCCCCGACCCGGAACUCUCCCCUGCGUCAGGCGGGCAACGAACGGCCAGAGAAAAGCGGCAGUCAUUUUGGCGGGGCUGUCUCAGAUGAAAACGGAACAAAACGGGCCCGUUUGUUACUACACGAGAGGACUGCGAAUGGAAUGGCAGGCUUGUGUAUUGUCUGGGGGGGGGUGUUAUUGUUAUUAAAUUGUUAUUAAAAUUAAAUUAAUAAAUAUUAAAUUUUAAAAAUUAAAUUGUAUGUUUAACCAGGGGCAGCUAAGUAAGGAAGCGUGCGGAGCACUGGAUCUGGAGUCAGGAAGGCUCAUUUUCCCGAGUUCAGAUCUGGCCUCUGACACUCACUAGCUCAGCGACCCUGGGCAAGUCACUUCACCCUGUUUGCCUCAGUUUCCUCAUCUGCAAAUUGAACCGGAGAAGGAAAUGGCCAACCACUCCGGUAUAUCUGCUAAGAAAACCCCGAAUGGUUUCAUGAAGAGUUGGACACGAUUGAAAUGACCUAUCCUUUUCUGCCUUUGUGGGGAAGUUGAUAUUUAGAACAUUUUUAUUUUCUAAUAUUUAAUCUAUUCACUAUAUGAUGACUAUC